AAUGAGAAGAUGGUGUGAAGUCUUUUGGACGGAUAGUUUUAACUAAUUUAUCCCGAAUCUCUAUUAUUAUACAAGAAAGCGAAACGAAACCUAUGGAAACUACGUCCUGAUGAAGAACUCUUAUCCAAAUUGCAGCAACCGAAAGCAGAACAAUAUUUUAAUCAUUUUGUAAAAAAUUUCGUUUAUGAGGACUCAAAUUCUUUCACCAAACGUUGAAUUGUUGAUUUUGCAGGUCCAUUACGUUGAUCAUAAAUUGGCUUUAAUGCUCUUAAAGCUUGGAUCAAAGACUCACCACUUUUGUAAUAAAUUUUAAUAAUUUGCAAGCGUUACUCGAAUGUGUACUGCUCCAUGAUGAAACUACAAUUAUUUUUGGGCACAGCUGUCAAAGAAACAAUAACAAAUAUGACAUUGUUUUCGAAACCUAUUAACGUGAAGUGUGAGCGUCCCUAUUGAAAAACCCUUUAAAUAGAAGUAAAGAUCUCCUUCCUUCCUGACUAUAGGGCCUUAUUAGUUGUCAACAGUAGAUCCAUCAUUGGGUAAGUUUACUAAAAUCUACCAUCAUAACUUUCUCUUUGUAAUCAUUCUUCCUUUUCUCUCUCUCUCUCUCUCUUUCUAUGCCAAUGACUUUUUUUCCUAUUAAAUUAUGAGAAAAUUUGUUAAAAACGGUAUUAAAUCCAAUAAAGGAUCAAGUUUUAGCUUUCAAAUCUGAGUCAGUUUGUAAGUCUAUAAUUGUAAGAUCAAUUGAGUUGCAAAUUUUUAAAAUAUGGAGUCCAGCCCGAGUCGCAAUUAGUGAGUCUAAGUCCGCACCAAGUAAAGAUUAUGUAUUGGCUAAAUAUUGAUUUAAUAGAAUCUACUCCAGAUGAAUAGUGAUAAAUUUACCUCUGGAUUCCUCCAAAAUUCAUCUCAAUCAUAUUCAAAUACUGUUCUAUGAGUAAUAUCUGAGAGAAAGGAUUUCAUAAUCAAUGAAAACAUCAUUAGUGACUAAGCAAGGACUCAUGAAGAAAGUGAAGAGUUCUAAUGGUUCUUGAUGAUUUUUCAAGAGAAUAAGAAUAUAGAUUAUUCAUGAAUUACUUUUUGACAAGUAGUGACGAAUAAUUAACAUAAGGAUAGUUCAAAGAGUAUUAACUGAAAAUGAUACAUUUGAGUAUUUUGUAUUUAUCAUUAUUCAAUGAAUCAUUCCAAUAUUUAUUAAGGAAAAUUGAAUUAUGAUGUGUAUACCUAAAUAAUGGCCAAUUUUAAGACAUACUUAAAUAGUUUGCAGUUAUUUAUUAUUUUACCAGACUAUUUUAAUAUUCUUACUUAUAAGGAGCUCAAUGUUUUUCCAUAAUUUGCUAUUUGAUUUCUCAUAUAAAGCUCUUUACUUACAAUUAUUUAGUCAAAAUUAAUUUUGUACAGUUAAAUUUUGAUUGUUUAAGAAAUUGAGACUGUUGAAUAUUUAAUAAAAACUGACAAUCAGUUUUACUUUUGAUAUUGGUUAAUAUUUAUUAUCACUCUCAAUUAUAGUUCUAAUAUGGUCAUAUUUAUUCUAAUCAAAUAUUUGAAGUAGGGAAGGUGGAUAUUAAUUAAUGAAAUUGAAUAAAUUUAAUUUUAGUGAAACUUUUCUAAUGACUACAUUUGCUUAAAAAAAAAUUAAAAUUUACCAACAAAACUCCCGAAAAUUACUUUUUCAACCAUAAAUUUUUUUUUAAUCUAUUUUCAAAGUAAUGUAAUAAGACGAAACUCGAAAAUGUUGUUAUCAUUAAAGGCUUUUAAUAAUUAAAGCAAUAGGCAUAAAUUAUUUUAAGUUAAAAAGACUAGUUUUAAGGUCAUAUAAAUAGGUCA
rnacentral:lncRNA from 1 species